rnacentral:tRNA from 1 species
ACCUGGGUGGCUCAGUCGGUUGAGCAUCUGACUUCGGCUCGGGUCACGAUCUCGCGGUUCGUGGGUUCGAGCCCCGCGUCGGGCU